AGUGAACGCUGGCGGUAGGCCUAACACAUGCAAGUCGAACGGCAGCACAGUAAGAGCUUGCUCUUACGGGUGGCGAGUGGCGGACGGGUGAGGAAUACAUCGGAAUCUACUUUUUCGUGGGGGAUAACGUAGGGAAACUUACGCUAAUACCGCAUACGACCUACGGGUGAAAGCAGGGGAUCUUCGGACCUUGCGCGAUUGAAUGAGCCGAUGUCGGAUUAGCUAGUUGGCGGGGUAAAGGCCCACCAAGGCGACGAUCCGUAGCUGGCCUGAGAGGAUGAUCAGCCACACUGGAACUGAGACACGGUCCAGACUCCUACGGGAGGCAGCAGUGGGGAAUAUUGGACAAUGGGCGCAAGCCUGAUCCAGCCAUGCCGCGUGGGUGAAGAAGGCCUUCGGGUUGUAAAGCCCUUUUGUUGGGAAAGAAAAGCAGCAGGUUAAUACCCCGCUGUUCUGACGGUACCCAAAGAAUAAGCACCGGCUAACUUCGUG
rnacentral:rRNA from 1 species